GAUGAACGCUGGCGGCGUGCCUAAUACAUGCAAGUCGAGCGAACAGAUGAGGAGCUUGCUCCUCUGACGUUAGCGGCGGACGGGUGAGUAACACGUGGAUAACCUACCUAUAAGACUGGGAUAACUUCGGGAAGCCGGAGCUAAUACCGGAUAAUAUAUUGAACCGCAUGGUUCAAUAGUGAAAGACGGUUUUGCUGUCACUUAUAGAUGGAUCCGCGCCGCAUUAGCUAGUUGGUAAGGUAACGGCUUACCAAGGCAACGAUGCGUAGCCGACCUGAGAGGGUGAUCGGCAACACUGGAACUGAGACACGGUCCAGACUCCUACGGGAGGAAGCAGUAGGGAAUCUUCCGCAAUGGGCGAAAGCCUGACGGAGCAACGCCGCGUGAGUGAUGAAGGUCUUCGGAUCGUAAAACUCUGUUAUUAGGGAAGAACAAAUGUGUAAGUAACUAUGCACGUCUUGACGGUACCUAAUCAGAAAGCCACGGCUAACUACGUG
rnacentral:rRNA from 1 species